rnacentral:rRNA from 1 species
CCUACGGGGGACAGCAGUGGGGAAUAUUGCACAAUGGGGGAAACCCUGAUGCAGCGACGCCGCGUGAGUGAUGAAGUAUUUCGGUACGUAAAGCUCUAUCAGCAGGGAAGAAAAUGACGGUACCUGACUAACAAGCCACGGCUAACUCCGUGCCAGCAGCCGCGGUAAUACGGAGGGGGCGAGCGUUAACCGGAAUUACGGGGCGUAAAGUGAGCGUAGACGGCAGGGCAAGUCAAGGGUGAAAUCCCAGGGCUUAACCAUGGAACUGCCUUUGAAACUGGGCAACUAGAGUGCAGGAGAGGUUAGCGGAAUUCCUGGUGUAGCGGUGAAAUGCGUAGAUAUUAGGAGGAACAGCAGUGGCGAAGGCGGCUAACUGGACUGUAACUGACGUUGAGGCUCGAAAGCGUGGGUAGCAAACAGGAUUAGAUACCCUAGUAGUC